AUGCCAGAUGAUUAUCGGAGGCCUUCCCACCGAACCCACAGCUUCAGGGGGACGCAGGGAGGCUGGCAAGAUAGGGAAAUCCUGUGGCCAAAAGCUUUUGGAGCGAGCAGUUUCUCCUCCCACUUGCAGAGACCACACUUAGAUUUUUGUGGUGUCAUAAAUAUGCUCUUUAGUGUGCGCACUAAUAGGUCUCUGGAACACAUCUGGGUUUGGUGGCUCCGGACCCCGAGGCGUGUGCAUGAAGGCGAGGCUGUCACCCUAGCUCCACGCAUCGCUCAGCCAGCCAGGAAUACUCCGUGGAAAGCAAGGGAAGAGAAACAGCUCCAGAAGUUCAGAAGUUUGCUCCUCCUGAAAUUUCAUUGGCCUGCAGGUUACCCACAGUCUCAACUCCCCUGCUGACAAUUUGGAGAAUAAUAUUAAAUGGUAACUAUAAUAUAUACUAAUAGAUUAAUCUUUAUAAGUCAUGCCAAGUUCUGUGGGGCCGGGGCUUGGCAGGAGUGGUCUGCCUCAGAUGUGGAGUAUCUAAUGACGUCUUUACUGUUGCAGGAUUUGCACGUGGCAGCCGGAGAUGUCGUUUGCACUCUGACACAGGCUAAGUCACUUACGACUAUUGAUCCCAUCAGAGGCUCGCACCGGGACAGCCUGGGCCCUGGCCAAACCUUGUUUAAAUCAAAAGCCGAACUUGCCUUGCUGUCUCUGGGCUGCUCGCCCCGGGAGGAGGCAGGAGGCAGGCAGAGCUCCAGCCUGCUCAGCUGGAAAGUAAAGCUCCGGGGCUGAUCUACUGGAAUCGUGAAGGAUCCUUUCACUGACUUCAGUGAGCCAUAUACCUUGGCAAACCUGGUGCUUGGUGGGGUUAUUUGCACGUGGUGAUCCCAUACUGACCCUCGUUCCUCUCUUCUGGGCUAUCCUAAAGUCACCCAUUUUAUUAUUUUUGUUGUUGUUGUUGUAGAGGUUGGAGUCCAAGGCCUCUGCUCAGCUCUCAGAUCCACAGGGGGGCGUGUUACAGUGACCCCCCUGCAAUUAUUGCAGACCCCGUGCAAUCGAUGGCCGUUACAUGCCUACACUGCUUCAAGGACCUAGGACCGAUGGAGUCAGGGACUUUUGAGGAUCUACAUCUUCCUUACAAGCUGUGAUUCAUCCAGUUGCACUUACUCACCACUAACAUUAGCUCUGGUGUGAUCCCAUGGGAAGCUCUCCAUCAUGCUGGGACUGACAUACCAUCAAGCACGUGCCUCGUCUUCCCCUGCUGAAUUCCUCGUGAGUUGGUAGAGCUGCAUGCCUACAGAUAGCCUUGUGGCUCACUCCGCUUUGGAGAUCUUAGACAAAAUCACCCUCUCCAGGAGAAGGAAAGUGCUGGUUUCGUAACUUGCAGUGGAAAACACAGACGGACCUUCACACUCUAAAGAAGAGCAGAAAAAGUGUAAAUUUUGGUAGGACAUUUACUGAGAAAAUGGCAGAAACCUGAGAAAUACACAUAGGGAUAUUUUAUUGUUGAAGAUCUAUUUUGUUAAGAUACUUCUCAUAAAAUAUAUUGGUUUUCCUGGUUAAGCAGUAGCUGUGCCUAGUUUACAAGCAAUUAGAGCCACCCUAACUUACCCUCCUAAGGUCAAACCUUCUCCCCAAAUUUCUGACCUUGCUGUGAUUCCUGCAAGGAAAGAUUGGUACUGCUUGUGUUCUCUACACCAGAUAUAAAGAGAAAGAGGUCCACUGGAGCAAGAGAAAACACUUUUCUUAGUGCUCAGCUAAUUAGGGUUUCCCAAAGCACCGUCAGAGUUGCUAUUGCAGCACACCAUGCACGGGGAAGCCUCCUGGCUCAUUUUUGCCCAGAGCCAGUGCCUCUCCAGUGGAAGAUUAUUGAUUUCUGAACUGACACAGUGACACAGUGCCUCGGGAAACUCUUCCUUUUUCCGUCCUCUUCUCUCUCCCUUUUUCUAUUUGCUUUAUUUUGUUUUGUGCUAUGUGAGCCUUUAGUCAAAUAUCCCACAUACACACUCAUCACUUGGACGGCUUUAAGCACAAUCCAUGGGCAAGUCUGGGCACUGCAUUAAUAUCUCUUGUUGUUGUCUCUCUGUAGAUUAUCCUCUGUUACUGUAAUUCGUAAAUUCAGCCCUUUGUGUACAUGCCUCCUUUGUGAAAAUGCAAUAUCAUUACUAAUUAAACAGGGUUUUAAUAAGUUGGCUGAUAGCUCCCCACAGCAUCUAGGAAUUAACCUCACCUGGGAGCAAGCUGCUGGUUGAGGCUAAAGAGAAGCUUAGAUAAAGGCGGGGAAAGGAAAAGACAUCAAAGUGCUAGUCACCACCAAAACCUCAUCCUCCACAAAUUCUAGGUGUGGAAAUGUUUCUCAGCCAUAGGGAUCCUCCCUCCAUGGAUUUCCAAAUAACUAUAAUCAUCAGAAUUCCCUCUUUCACCUCCCCCUGGCCUGAUUAUCUCAUCCUUCUCAUUUGAACUUGCUUGCUAUGAGCAAUACAUUUAUGGCUUCAAUGCUUUAUUACCUCGAUCCCCCAAGUGCUUAAUUAGGUUCAGAUGGUGAUAAUUUAGCAAUGCAGAUCUUAGGGACAGCAGUGUCCUUGUGGUCUGCUUUCACCGUCGAACAAGGUUCUGUCCCUCAUCUCCAUGCUUGUUUCAUGUAUCCAGCUUCCUCAGAGGCUGUGGGUCAAUACUGGUAUAAGCAGAGGACAGAGUUUUCUUGGUAGCUGACCGGUGCUUAGGAUUCAUGUUGGCUUUGGAAAUUUAAUGUUCUGCAGUCUCCAGCUAUUUUUCUCACAAUUAAAUACACUUCUUAACAAAAAGCACAGAAUAAACAAAAAAAUCAUAACCCA
rnacentral:lncRNA from 1 species